CCGUACGUCCAUUGCAGGCCAGCCAGAUGCUCUGCUCUGCGUCCUCUUCUUGCCCAGACCCACACUGAUAGAGCAGCCUCUAACUGGAACCCAGAGGUCACGGUGGCAGAGUAAAAUGAGAAAGCAUAACGCGUCGAGUUCAGGCUCUUAAACCUUCCACACACAUCACUUCCACUCUCAUUUCAUUGGCCAAUGCAGUGACUAAUCUCAAGUCAGCAAGGAAGUGUAAUUUUCGUGUGCCUGGAAGAGGAGAAGAACUGUAAGCAUUGAUGAGCGGCACUCCUAUCUCCUGUGUGGGUCAGUGACCAAGAACAACUUGGAAUUGCAGUAGCCUGUCAAAUCCCCGUUUCCCUGGUUUCAAUGAGGUUUCAUCAUAAGCAUUUGGUGAAAAUGGCGCUGCUGUUCAAGGCUGCAUAUGCGUUCUGAAGGCAAACACAGCCAUAAUAGUAAUAAUUCUGGUUUCCUGAGCGACUUUUCUUGAAGCCUGUCAUUUCAUUUUCCAUUUCCUCAGAAUGGAGGUUUUAUCUCUUAAGUAUCUAUUGAGGACUGACAGGUGAGGUGAGUAGGCCAAGUCUAUUAUUUAGAAUUAUGUUUGAGGCCAAAAUUAAAUGUGACUUUCCCCAUCUUUUCCUCAACAGAAAGAAGUUAGCAGGAGGCAUGCGAGUUAAACAGAGAUCGUUGCUGCAAAUGGCUCACUCCCAGAAGUCCCUCUCUCGGAAUUUCAGUUGUUGAUAACUAGCAGGUUUUAUCUCCAGGAACUAAGAUAAGUUUUUCUUCACUUCUGGCCUGCCAACUUGUAGACUGUCUCCAGCUGAGGCAACACUGCCAGAAUGAAUAACUGGAGAAUGCACUCAACUCUCUAUUUAUUUGGAAGUAUGAUAAUUUGAGGGAAAAUUAAAGUUGUCAGUUUUUCAUUGCACCCUACAGCUCUCAGUGCUGGUUAUCUCAUCAGACUGCAUGGUAUACUUCUGCAUAAAAUUGUGUAAACGAAUGGAAAAGACAAGAAAGAGAAGGCAGAAUUAAUAUCUUGCUAAAGGCCACACAGCAUGUUUCAGGCAGGACUGGGUACCUGAAUGCCCUGGCUGAUCGGACUGAGGCCUUCGAGCUCUAGCCCAGGAUAGGGAGCAUGUGGGUGCUGAGAUCACAAAGUUAUGCAAGGGGCAAGGACAAUACAUUUUAAAUGUAUAAGCACUGACCUGUGACAAACUGUUCCAGAGGCCCAGGGACUGUGAGCACUUUGAGGGCCAAGGGUGUCAGUUCACCUUUGUAUCCCAGGCUCCCAGCUCAAUGCCUGGCAUGUCAGCAGACACCCAGUCAAUGGCAAAUACAAUCUGUUGAAUACAUUCAGAGCCUUUAAAAAUGUAAACCAGAUAAUCCCAUUUCUCAGCUUAAAAUGCUGCAAUGACUUCUCGUUUUCCUCAAAGUCAGAGUCCAUGCAAUCCGAUUGUUGCUAACGACUGCAUUUUCCAGUCUCCCUGCUCCAUCCAUUUCCCUACAUGCCCGCCUUUGGCUCCUCCACAGGAGGCGAAUCCCUUUGUACUGGCUGUUCUUGAUGCCUGUACUCUGGCUCUACAUAUAUAAAAGGCCACCUCCCUUACUACUUCCAAUACUUUGGCCAAAUGUCACUUUUCAUGAAGGCAUAUUCCCACUGCCCUUUGAAAAAUUGCAGCCCCCCGCCCAGCCCCUGCCCACCCAUACCCCUGCCCUCCCUUAGCCUGCUCUGUUUCUUUCCUGAACCUUUAUCGCCUUCUAACUUUCAUUUACUAUUUUGUUUACUUACUUUUUAUGUGGAUGUUUUGCCAGGAUGUUAGCCUACAAGUGUGAGGAUCUUUGCCUUUAUUCUUCACUGGUAUCCCUAGUGUUUCAACAUACUGAGGAUGCUUUGUAAAUACUUGUUGAAUGAAAAUUAAUAAAACUGGAUUAGGGAAGCAGGUGAAUGCAUGGGGCAGUAAGUGCAAAGGGUCCACAGUUAAGGAUAGGUGUACUGGUGAAUGGACCACAAGUCCUGGUAGAUUUAUGGAGGCGGACAUUCCUUUCACAUUCCAAAAAGCUCCUGCAAUUCAAAGAUAAACUUGCCCAGCUAUCAGAGUCAAAGCUACAGACAUUCAACCUAUUAACUGUCAAGAUCUCUUGUUAACAAUGUAGUUCAGUCCUUGAUGCAUUCAGACAAACAGUGCUUGUGUGAACUGGUUUGAGGCCCUCUGCAUCAGGAUUUCUUGAUAAGUAUUAAGGUUCCUGAACUUUAUCCAUAUUGCUGAAUAAUCUCUAAGGAUAAGAUCCCCAGAUAAUUAGAAUACAUACUAAAAUUUGAGAAUUACUAGUGUAUAGAAAAUCUAUAGAAAACAAUGAGAUUAUAGGAAAACAGAAUAUCUGACUGUAGUAUAAUUAUUCCACAGGAUGUUAAUAAGAUUGUAGUUUUUUUUGAAAAAUAUUUCUUGACUUAAUAGGUUAGGAUAACAUUGAGUUAAAUAGAUUUUAAAAAAUAUAUAACAGGAAUUCUCAGAAUCUUUGAUCAGCUGACAUGAUUGUGAAUUCUCCACAGUAGGAAAUACUCAUAUUUUGCCAUGUACAAUGAGUACUUUUUGCCCAAGUUUUUAAGGAAAAAAUAAGGAUGCA